CGGGGUGUGGGUGAGGCCCCUCACGGACGCUCCCGCUCAGGAUUUAUCCAACAGUCAGGUCGAAUGAGUGAACAAAACUGAGCACUGAGCUUUUAUCCAACUCAGACAUUUGCCGUUCUUGGGGAGGACUGCACUCUCAAAGACCUGUUUCUCCCAAGUUCCUAGUGUCUGUUUAAUAAAUCAUGUGAAAAAUAA